rnacentral:rRNA from 1 species
UGGGGAAUAUUGCACAAUGGGCGCAAGCCUGAUGCAGCCAUGCCGCGUGUAUGAAGAAGGCCUUCGGGUUGUAAAGUACUUUCAGCGGGGAGGAAGGGAGUAAAGUUAAUACCUUUGCUCAUUGACGUUACCCGCAGAAGAAGCACCGGCUAACUCCGUGCCAGCAGCCGCGGUAAUACGGAGGGUGCAAGCGUUAAUCGGAAUUACUGGGCGUAAAGCGCACGCAGGCGGUUUGUUAAGUCAGAUGUGAAAUCCCCGGGCUCAACCUGGAAACUGCAUCUGAUACUGGCAAGCUUGAGUCUCGUAGAGGGGGGUAGAAUUCCAGGUGUAGCGGUGAAAUGCGUAGAGAUCUGGAGGAAUACCGGUGGAGAAGGCGGCCCCCUGGACGAAGACUGACGCUCAGGUGCGAAAGCGUGGGGAGCAAACAGG